AGGUCAUUUCUUUAGAAGAUCGAUACUGGUAGUUGCUUGCGGUGUCUGAACAAGUUUCGAAAAAACUACUGUGUCUGCAUUUUCCUAAAGAUUGAUGUGAGGCUGAUAGUGAUAUCUUUCCAAUAACUGACUCACAGGAUGGUACUGACUUUCAUACAUGUGUUGCAUGGCUGUCGUCAGCUCGGUCGUGAUAUGUUUGGUCAAGUGUUAUAACGAGCGAAACCCUCGUUUUGUGUUGCUGAGACAUGUGCCUAAGGAGAAAUUGCCACCGAAGUGAGUCGAGGAUCCGAGUGAUGUGCCAACGCUACUAAUUGAUUGAGUGCCGGCGCGUAGCUGUGCUUUCAGCAAGAAUUUCACCAUUGGGAGCCGGUGCCUUUCGAAGCACUUUCACGUGUGAACCAAAGUCGUCUGGCAAGACCCACGGAGACCUCCCUAUAGUGACGUCAAAGUACCUGUGAGCAUGUAGGUUUGGUUGAAAUUGGUUACGACGACAUCGAGUUGGUGGCAGAGGAAGACUCAGCAUGAAGGCCAGCCGCCCGAUGGUGUGGAACGUAGUGGUAAUAGUACACACCCCGCUCCGAAACAAAGAAAAAGGUGUGUGGCACACUCACGAGGGACUGCCAGUGAGAUACUGGAGGAAGGUGGGGAUGACGUGAAGUCUGCAUGGCCCUUAUGGGCGGGGCCACACACGUGCUACAAUGGCAAUUACAAUGGGAAGCAAGGCUGUAAGGCAGAGCGAAUCCGGAAAGAUUGCCUCAGUUCAAAUUGUUCUCUGCAACUCGGGAACAUGAAGUUGAAAUCGCUAGUAAUCGUAGAUCAGCAUGCCUUGCUAAAUAUGUACUCGAGCCCUAUACACACCGCCCGUCACACCCUGGGAAUUGGUUUCGCCCGAAGCAUCAGACCAAUGAUCACCCAUGGCUUCUGUGUAUCACUAGUGCCACAAAGGCCUUUGGUGGUCUUAUUGGCGCAUACCACGGUGGGGUCUUCGACUGGGGUGAAGUUCUAACAAGGUAGCCGUAGGGGAACCUACUUGACUA
rfam:Triticum aestivum genome assembly, contig: Triticum_aestivum_CS42_TGACv1_scaffold_423581_5BS